UACGUAGGGGGCAAGCGUUGUCCGGAUUUACUGGGCGUAAAGAGCGUGUAGGCGGCCACGCAGGUCCGUUGUGAAAACUGGAGGCUCAACCUUCAGACGUCGACGGAAACCGUAUGGCUAGAGUCCGGAAGAGGAGAGUGGAAUUCCUGGUGUAGCGGUGAAAUGCGCAGAUAUCAGGAAGAACACCCGUGGCGAAGGCGGCUCUCUGGGACGGUACUGACGCUGAGACGCGAAAGCGUGGGAGCGAACAGG
rnacentral:rRNA from 1 species